CGCUGUGAAGAUGCAGUGUACCCGCGGCAAGACGGAAAGACCCCGUGAACCUUUACUAUAGCUUGACACUGAACAUUGAGCCUUGAUGUGUAGGAUAGGUGGGAGGCUUUGAAGUGUGGACGCCAGUCUGCAUGGAGCCGGCCUUGAAAUACCACCCUUUAAUGUUUGAUGUUCUAACGUGGACCCGUGAUCCGGGUUGCGGACAGUGUCUGGUGGGUAGUUUGACUGGGGCGGUCUCCUCCUAAAGAGUAACGGAGGAGCACGAAGGUUGGCUAAUCCUGGUCGGACAUCAGGAGGUUAGUGCAAUGGCAUAAGCCAGCUUGACUGCGAGCGUGACGGCGCGAGCAGGUGCGAAAGCAGGUCAUAGUGAUCCGGUGGUUCUGAAUGGAAGGGCCAUCGCUCAACGGAUAAAAGGUACUCCGGGGAUAACAGGCUGAUACCGCCCAAGAGUUCAUAUCGACGGCGGUGUUUGGCACCUCGAUGUCGGCUCAUCACAUCCUGGGGCUGAAGUAGGUCCCAAGGGUAUGGCUGUUCGCCAUUUAAAGUGGUACGCGAGCUGGGUUUAGAACGUCGUGAGACAGUUCGGUCCCUAUCUGCCGUGGGCGCUGGAGAACUGAGGGGGGCUGCUCCUAGUACGAGAGGACCGGAGUGGACGCAUCACUGGUGUUCGGGUUGUCAUGCCAAUGGCACUGCCCGGUAGCUAAAUGCGGAAGAGAUAAGUGCUGAAAGCAUCUAAGCACGAAACUUGCCCCGA
rnacentral:rRNA from 1 species